ACGUGAUAGUGCACUCAUACUAAAAAUUUGGAGCCAUACAGAGAAGAUUAGCAUGGCCCCCGCGCGAGGAUGACACACAGAAACAUGGGAUUCUUCU
ensembl:snRNA U6 U6 spliceosomal RNA